AAGGGACAGGAAGGACCCAGUCCCAGAGACUCACGGCCUGCGGGCGCCCCCACAAUCAUCUCGCUUGUCAUAGGACUGACGCUGGCUGCAACUACCUGUAGCUGUGCAGAAAUGGACGCUCACUCGGACCUAGUUGUCUCUGAGCAGGACCCACCUCCUAGCUGAUGAUGUGUGAGUGUGUGGAGCUUUACUGGGAGAGAGGGAGAAAGAGAAACAGAGAAACAAGGAGACCUCGCGGAGGGAAGAGAACGGAAGGAGAGAGAGAGGGGGGGGGAAGGAGCGUGAAAAUGAUUUUUAAAGUCUGAAUAAACCACAAAACCAGGAAUAUUGAAGCAACUUCGAGGAAACUCUCAGUUGGGAUAGUGAUUUCUGAGAAUAGAGGAUGUUAUCUGCUUAUUUAAAUGUGACCCGCUCAAGUUGUCAUGAAUAAAAGAAGCUUUGGUUAUGCCCACCUUGCAACCGGGUCUGUUUCAGAAGGUCAUUAAGAUUAAUUUGUUAUUACGUUUCAUGCUUAUAUUCUGCAUCCUGUAACCCUGCCUAUUUUGCCCGCCACAUCUCCCAUUUGGAAACCCCUAUCCCUGAGUUGUAUAAAAAACAUUUCCUCACAUCUAAUGCUGACCUCUCGAAACCUGCCUUAGGGGGAGGUAGCCUGUGUGCAAGAAUAAACUUGUUUUGUUUACAAAAAAAAAAAAAAAAAGCU